CCAAUAGCGUAUAUUAAAGUUGUUGCAGUUAAAAAGCUCGUAGUUGAAUUUCGGGGUUUAUCCGUUGGUCGGGCUUUUUGGUCUGUACUGGCGUGAUGGAUUCCUACCUUCUGAAUAACCGGCAUGCCAUUAAUUUGGUGCGCCGGGGAAGCAGGACUGUUACCUUGAAAAAAUUAGAGUGCUUAAAGCAGGCUUAUGCCUGAAUACAUUAGCAUGGAAUAAUGAAAUAGGACGGCAUGGUUCUAUUUUGUUGGUUUCUAGGAUCACCGUAAUGAUUAAUAGGGAUAGUUGGGGGCAUUAGUAUUCAAUUGUCAGAGGUGAAAUUCUUGGAUUUAUUGAAGACUAACUUCUGCGAAAGCAUUUGCCAAGGAUGUUUUCAUUAAUCAAGAACGAAAGUUAGGGGAUCGAAGACGAUCAGAUACCGUCGUAGUCUUAACCAUAAACUAUGCCGACUAGGGAUCGGACGAUGUUAAUUUUUUAAUGACUCGUUCGGCGCCUUACG
rnacentral:rRNA from 1 species